UGCGCUACACUGAUGUAUUCAACGAGUUCACACCUUGGCCGACAGGCCCGGGUAAUCUUUGAAAUUUCAUCGUGAUGGGGAUAGAUCAUUGCAAUUGUUGGUAUUCAACAAGGAAUUCCUAGUAAGCGCGAGUCAUCAGAUCGCGUUGACUAUGUCCCUGCCCUUUGUACACACCGCCCGUCGCUCCUACCGAUUGAAUGAUUCGGUGAAGUGUUCGGAUCGCGGCGACGUGGGUGGUUUGCCGUCUGUGACGUCGUGAGAAGUCCACUAAACCUUAUCCUUUAGAGGAAGGAGAAGUCGUAACAAGGUUUCCGUAGGUGAACCUGCGGAAGGAUCAUUG
rnacentral:ncRNA from 1 species